AUGUUUUCAAGGUGAAAGGUGGCCUUUCUUUGAAGCUGCCGUUGAAGGAUGGUUCCGCCUCCCAUUAGCUUGUUGGUGGGGUAAUGGCCUACCAAGGCGACGAUGGGUAGCCGGCCUGAGAGGGUGUCCGGCCACACUGGGACUGAGAUACGGCCCAGACUCCUACGGGAGGCAGCAGUCGAGAAGCUUCGGCAAUGGGCGAAAGCCUGACCGAGCGAUGCCGCGUGAGUGAAGAAGGCCCUAUGGGUUGUAAAGCUCUGUCAGAUUGGGAAGAAAAUCCUACGGUUAAUACCCGUGGGACUUGACGGUACCAUCAGAGGAAGCACCGGCUAACUCCGUGCCAGCAGCCGCGGUAAUACGGAGGGUGCAAGCGUUGUUCGGAUUCACUGGGUAUAAAGGGUGCGCAGGCGGCCCGAUAAGUCAGGGGUGAAAUAUGACGGCUUAACCGUCAAACUGCCCCUGAAACUGUCAGGCUUGAGUCCGGGAGAGGAAGGUGGAAUUCCAGGUGUAGCGGUGAAAUGCGUAGAUAUUUAGAGGAACGCCCAUGGCGAAGGCAGGCGGCUGGGCCGAUUCUGACGCUGAGGCACGAAAGCGUGGGUAGCGAACGGGAUUAGAUACCCCGGUAGUCCACGCCCUAAACGAUGUGCACUAGAUCGUGGCCGCUCUGACGCGGGCACGGUCGAAGCAAAAGUGAUAAGUGCACCGCCUGGGGAGUACGGUCGCAAGGCUAAAACUCAAAGGAAUUGACGGGGGCUCACACAAGCGGUGGAGCAUGUGGCUUAAUUCGAAGCAACGCGAAG
rnacentral:rRNA from 1 species